UGACCCUUUUUUCCCCCACAGGGAUUCCCUGGAACUGAUGGGGUGCCAGGAAGCCCUGGCCGCCCUGGGAACCCCGGGUCCCCCGGCCAGCCGGGCACCCAGGGCGUCCCCGGCCCCCGGGGGGAUCCUGUGAGUAUGGCCCCCUCCUCCCCAACCCCUCACUGCCCCCCCACACGCCCCCCUGCUCACUCCCACCUUUCACCCCCAGGGCCCGCGGGGACCGACGGGGCUUCCUGGCCUGAAAGGGGAAAAAGGCGAGCCGGGGGAGCCCAGGGUGAUUGUAGAUGGAGGCCAGGGGCUGCCCGGACGGAAAGGGGAGCCGGGCACGCCGGGCAGCCCUGGCCCCCCCGGCAGCCCUGGCCCACGGGGACCCUUUGGAGAUCCAGGCCCUCUGGGUCCUACGGGGCCCAUGGGGCCACCGGGACCUCCGGGAGACUUCGUAAAGGUACGGGGACAGGGGGACAGCCCGCAGCUUGAACCUGCUCCCCCA
rnacentral:lncRNA from 1 species